CCUACGGGUGACAGCAGUGAGGAAUAUUGGUCAAUGUGCGGGAGCCUGAACCAGCCAAGUCGCGUGAGGGAAGACGGUCCUAUGGAUUGUAAACCUCUUUAGGCGGGGAGCAAUGCCGGGCACGCGUGCCCGGAGGGAGAGUACCCGCAGUAUAAGCAUCGGCUAACUCCGUGCCCGCAGCCGCGGUAAUACGGAGGAUGCGAGUGUUCUCCGGAUUUAUUGGGUUUAGAGGGUGCGUAGGCGGAUUUUUAAGUCCGCGGUAAAAUGUCCGGGCUCAACCCGGGCGGGCCGUUGAAACUGGGGAGCUUGAGUGGGCGAGAAGUAUGCGGAAUGCGUGGUGUAGCGGUGAAAUGCAUAGAUAUCACGCAGAACUCCGAUUGCGAAGGCAGCAUACCGGCGCCCGACUGACGCUGAGGCACGAAAGCGUGGGGAUCGAACAGGAUUAGAUACCCCAGUAGUC
rnacentral:rRNA from 1 species